UACGAAGGGGCUAGCGUUGCUCGGAAUUACUGGGCGUAAAGCGCACGUAGGCGGCUUUCUAAGUCGGGGGUGAAAUCCUGGAGCUCAACUCCAGAACUGCCUUCGAUACUGGAAAGCUCGAGUCCGGGAGAGGUGAGUGGAACUGCGAGUGUAGAGGUGAAAUUCGUAGAUAUUCGCAAGAACACCAGUGGCGAAGGCGGCUCACUGGCCCGAUACUGACCGCUGAGGCACGAAAGCGUGGGGAGCAAAC
rnacentral:rRNA from 1 species